rnacentral:rRNA from 1 species
AAUGAACGUUGGCGGCAUGGAUUAGGCAUGCAAGUCGAGCGAGAAGAGUUUUGAAGCUUGCUUUAGAACUCGGACAGCGGCGAAAGGGAGAGUAACGCGUAGUUAUGUGCCCUAGGGUCCGGAAUAGCCACGGGAAACUGUGGGUAAUGCCGGAUAAUAUCCCCGGAUCAAAGGUGUGAUUCCGCCCUAGGAGCAGACUGCGUCCUACUAGCUAGUUGGUGGGGUAAUGGCCCACCAAGGCAAUGAUGGGUAGCGGGUGUGAGAGCAUGACCCGGCUCACGGGGACUGAGACACUGCCCAGACACCUACGGGUGGCUGCAGUCGAGAAUCUUCGGCAAUGGGCGAAAGCCUGACCGAGCGAUGCCGCGUGCGGGAUGAAGGCCCUCGGGUUGUAAACCGCUGUCGUAGGGGAGGAAGGUUCCGUGAAGAGCGGGACUUGACCUAUCCUAGGAGGAAGUACGGGCUAAGUUCGUGCCAGCCGCCGCCGUAACAC